CAUAUGGGCUGUCGGGAAUACUGCACAGCUAGGGAGUGGGAGAGGUAGACGGUACUCCAUAGGAAGGGGUAAAAUCCUUUGAUCUAUGGAAGACCACCUGUGGCGAAGGCGGUCUACCAGAACACGUUCGACGGUGAGGGAUGAAAGCUGGGGGAGCAAACCGGAUUAGAUACCCGGGUAGUCCCAGCUGUAACCUAUGCAAACUCAGUGAUGCAUUGGCUUGUGGCCAGUGCAGUGCCGCAGGGAAGCCGUUAAGUUUGCCGCCUGGGAAGUACGUACGCAAGUAUGAAACUUAAAGGAAUUGGCGGGGGAGCACCACAAGGGGUGAAGCCUGCGGUUCAAUUGGAGUCAACGCCAGAAAUCUUACCUGGGGAGACAGCAGAAUGAAGGUCAAGCUGAAGACUUUACCAGACAAGCUGAGAGGUGGUGCAUGGCCGUCGUCAGCUCGUGCCGUGAGAUGUCCUGUUAAGUCAGGUAACGAGCGAGAUCCCUGCCGCUAGUUGCUACCAUUACUCUCCGGAGUAGUGGGGCGAAUUAGUGGGACCGCCGCAGUUAAUGUGGAGGAAGGAAGGGGCCA
rnacentral:rRNA from 1 species